AUUGAACGCUGGCGGCAUGCCUUACACAUGCAAGUCGAACGGCAGCACGGGGCAACCUGGUGGCGAGUGGCGAACGGGUGAGUAAUGCAUCGGAACGUACCUUUCAGUGGGGGAUAACGUAGCGAAAGUUACGCUAAUACCGCAUAUUCUGUGAGCAGGAAAGCAGAGGAUCGCAAGACCUUGCGCUGAUUGGGCGGCCGAUGUCAGAUUAGCUAGUUGGUGAGGUAAAGGCUCACCAAGGCGACGAUCUUUAGCGGGUCUGAGAGGAUGAACCGCCACACUGGAACUGAGACACGGUCCAGACUCCUACGGGAGGCAGCAGUGGGGAAUUUUGGACAAUGGGGGCAACCCUGAUCCAGCCAUGCCGCGUGAGUGAAGAAGGCCUUCGGGUUGUAAAGCUCUUUCGGCCGGGAAGAAAUCGCACGGGCUAAUACCCUGUGUGGAUGACGGUACCGGAAUAAGAAGCACCGGCUAACUACGUGCCAGCAGCCGCCGUAAAAC
rnacentral:rRNA from 1 species